UAUUUUCUUAAGAAUGGCUAGGUAAGCAUUGCUGGGGGCUGAAUCUGACACAAAUGGCAAUGUUCAAGGUGAUGACAACAGAAGGAAGGCUUAUCUUUUUCAAAAUUGGAUCAGCUCAGACUCAACUAUAAUACAAACAUAUGAAGCCCUGAGUAUAGGGAUAGAACUACAACUCUAACUGGCUUUAGCAAUGAAGAAAAUUUCUGGUUUCACAUCUUUCAAGGGUCCAGAGGUGGCUACAGAUUCAGGAGACUUGCACCAGGAGGAACUGGCAAAUUUCCUUGGCAAGAACAGAUGAAUAAAUAAGAAGCAUGAGCUUGCGACUUUUAGCUGGGGUGAUUCGUCAAAAACCACAGCACUGUGGCUGUUUUCAGAUUUUAAGGGUUAUGUUCAACCUCA
rnacentral:lncRNA from 1 species